rnacentral:rRNA from 1 species
CAUAUGACUCUCGGCAACGGAUAUCUCGGCUCUCGCAUCGAUGAAGAACGUAGCAAAAUGCGAUACCUGGUGUGAAUUGCAGAAUCCCGUGAACCAUCGAGUUUUUGAACGCAAGUUGCGCCCGAGGCCUUCUGGCCGAGGGCACGUCUGCCUGGGCGUCACGC